AUUGAACGCUGGCGGAAUGCUUUACACAUGCAAGUCGAACGGUAGAGGGGCAACCCUUGAGAGUGGCGAACGGGUGAGUAAUGUAUCGGAACAUGCCCAGUCGUGGGGGAUAACGUAGCGAAAGUUACGCUAAUACCGCAUACGAUCUAUGGAUGAAAGCGGGGGAUCGCAAGACCUCGCGCGAUUGGAGUGGCCGAUAUCAGAUUAGGUAGUUGGUGGGGUAAAGGCCUACCAAGCCGACGAUCUGUAGCUGGUCUGAGAGGACGACCAGCCACACUGGGACUGAGACACGGCCCAGACUCCUACGGGAGGCAGCAGUGGGGAAUUUUGGACAAUGGGCGCAAGCCUGAUCCAGCCAUUCCGCGUGCAGGAAGAAGGCCUUCGGGUUGUAAACUGCUUUUGUACGGAACGAAACGCGCUGAGCUAAUACCUCGGCGUAAUGACGGUACCGUAAGAAUAAGCACCGGCUAACUACGUGCCAGCAGCCGCCGCCGUAA
rnacentral:rRNA from 1 species